GGCAUGGCCGGUACGUGCCCGGCGCGUCCGCCGCGGGCCAGGGUGCGGGUGUCGGGCGGCGUGCGGGCUGGGGCUGCGCCCGUGCAGGAUGCCCGCUGCCGGCGAGUGGGUCGCGAGCAGGACACUUCGGAGAGCGGCUCUGCAGACCCUUCAGGGUUCCUGCCUUGGGGCUCAGAGAAUCUAGACUUGGGCUGAGAAGGUUGCAGGGAUUUGGAUGCUAACAUAUCUCCUAGUUUCCAGCGCUCGCCCUGCAGAGCGUGCCAUCUCGGCAGCUGUUGAAAGGUCAGUUGGAAAAGCAUUCAUUCGGGGAGCGACGAGCAAACAUGCACAUAAAAUAGCGUUUCAAGUCGGCCCGGGAUGGUUCUGUGUGAACUGGUGUGUGUGUUCGAGGGGCGGGGGUGGAAUGAGCAGAAGCCAAGUCUUUGCCUGCGCAGGCUGAGUUGAUAUAGACUAUUGCUGGAAACCAUCCGCUGGGAUGUUUCUUAGGGAAAUCCCGUCGUGUGGAAGGAAGCCUUUUAAAGGCAAAGUCAGAUGUUGAGGAAUUAGCCUUUUCAUAGAAUUAUCAAAGGAUGGCUGUACAGAUCACCUAGAAAAUAAUUCAGUAUUUCAGGUUUUUCUUUUCUGGGAGUGUGAUAACUGAAAUUGUUAGAUUUUGGCUCAGUUAAGAAAAGAAAGGUAAGUGUGCUGGUGCUUUAGAUACGUUUUCUAUGCAAAUCAUUAGAUUUCCUGCAUUUAGCUGGCAGGAAAUAUUGUCUAAAUGGAGUGUGUAAGAUCCUGAGUCAAACCCUAAGAACGCAUAUUUUGACUCUUCCUUUUGAUGAAAAACAGAAAAAAGGGGGGGAGGCAGAAACUUGGAUGCUUCCUAAAAUGAUUGUGUUGUGUACAUGUAAACAUAUAUAUUUAGGAAUACCUGGAAUUUAUGUCGCAUAUUUUCCUUUUUUUUUUUUCUGGUCAAGAUUUGAGCUCUAGUGUGCGACCUUUUUAAUAAAAGGGGAAGAGGUUUUUCCCUUUCACGGGAGAACGCUUUAUUUGAUACAAGGUAGAAGGCAGACUGAGUAAGGGCUUGACUUUAGAAGGAUACUCGGUGAGCAGUCCAUGAAAAUGUCUUACCUACUUAAUAUUUUCAUUCACCUACUUUGAUGAAUGAAGGGAAGAAUUUCUGGCCAGCAAUAAAACGAUUCGUGUUUAUUCAGCCCGUUCCAUCACCUUGUGGCUCCCUACACACUGUGGGGGUAGGUGAUGCAUAGCCUUCCGUGGGCAGCGUUUCAGCAACUCAACCCGGCAUUCGUGUCUUACUUUCGUCGUCACUUGUCACUCUAAAGCAGCCAGUGGGCAAGAAGGUUUAUUUCAGAAGCUCCGAAGGGAGGCAGUGCUUUGAAAACCCCAGCAGAGUUUAAAAUAUACAGGCUUUUUCAAUUUUGCUGUGAGAGUUUGGUCGUCAUCUCAUGGUGAGAAAAUAGCUCUUGAUGAUGCCUUGGAAAUGGAGAGGGCCUGCGGAAGCAGAGAGAGACUGACACGUGAACAAGAAAAAUUAAUCAUUUAAUGGAAACCUCAUUUACAAUUUGCAUCUCUCCCCCUCUUUCUCUCUUAUGCCUAGAGGAAAGCCAUGAUUUUAAGUGCUUCCAGUUUCUUUUGGCUGGGCCUUUAUUAGAGACUUGAGCCCAUAUAUCCUAAUUAGUGUGGACACUUUUAGAAAUUAAAGCAAUUUAUGUUUCUCUU